rnacentral:rRNA from 1 species
ACGUAGGGUGCGAGCGUUGUCCGGAAUUAUUGGGCGUAAAGAGCUCGUAGGCGGUCUGUCGCGUCGGUCGUGAAAACUUGGGGCUUAACCCUGAGCUUGCGGUCGAUACGGGCAUGACUGGAGUUCGGCAGGGGAGACUGGAAUUCCUGGUGUAGCGGUGAAAUGCGCAGAUAUCAGGAGGAACACCGGUGGCGAAGGCGGGUCUCUGGGCCGAUACUGACGCUGAGGAGCGAAAGCGUGGGGAGCAAACAGG